GCCAAUGUGGCCGAGUGGUUAUGGCGUGUGACUCAAGCGCAAGCUUAUCUUCUUACGAAGACGCAUUCUCAUAGGGAAACCUGCGUGGGUUCGACUCCCACCGUUGGCA